UACCUGCAGCUCAAGUGGUGACCGUUAUUAUUGGGCCUAAAACGUUCGUAGCCGGUUUAUUAAAUGCCUGGGUAAAUCGUGUAGCUUAACUAUACGAAUUCCGGGUAGACUGAUAGACUUGAGACUGGGAGAAGCUAGAGGUACCCCUGGGGUAGAGGUGAAAUUCUGUAAUCCUAGGGGGACCACCGGUGGCGAAGGCGUCUAGCUAGAACGGGUCUGACGGUGAGGAGCGAAGCCCUGGGGCGCAAACGGGAUUAGAUACCCCGGUAGUCCAGGGUGUAAACGCUGCUUGCUUGAUGUUAGUUGGGCCCCGAGCCCAAUUAGUGUCGGAGCGAAGGUGUUAAGCAAGCUGCCUGGGAAGUACGAUCGCAAGAUUGAAACUUAAAGGAAUUGGUGGGGGAGCACAGCAACGGGUGGAGCGUGCGGUUU
rnacentral:rRNA from 1 species